rnacentral:rRNA from 1 species
CUCAACCUGGGAAUGGCAUCCGGAACUGUUUGGCUAGAGUGCAGGAGAGGAAGGUAGAAUUCCCGGUGUAGCGGUGAAAUGCGUAGAGAUCGGGAGGAAUACCAGUGGCGAAGGCGGCCUUCUGGACUGACACUGACGCUGAGGUGCGAAAGCGUGGGUAGCAAACAGGAUUAGGUACCCUGGUAGUCCACGCUGUAAACGAUGUCGACUAGCCGUUGGGUCCCUUGAGGACUUUGUGGCGCAGUUAACGCGAUAAGUCGACCGCCUGGGGAGUACGGCCGCAAGGUUAAAACUCAAAUGAAUUGACGGGGGCCCGCACAAGCGGUGGAGCAUGUGGUUUAAUUCGAUGCAACGCGAAGAACCUUACCUACCCUUGACAUCCUCGGAAUCCGCCAGAGAUGGUGGAGUGCCUUCGGGAACCG